rnacentral:rRNA from 1 species
UACAGAGGGUGCAAGCGUUAAUCGGAAUUACUGGGCGUAAAGCGUGCGUAGACGGUAGCGUAAGUCGGGUGUGAAAGCCCCGGGCUCAACCUGGGAAUUGCAUUUGUGACUGCACGGCUAGAGUGUGUCAGAGGGGGGUAGAAUUCCACGUGUAGCAGUGAAAUGCGUAGAGAUGUGGAGGAAUACCGAUGGCGAAGGCAGCCCCCUGGGAUAACACUGACGCUCAUGCACGAAAGCGUGGGGAGCAAACAGG